rnacentral:rRNA from 1 species
UACGUAGGGGGCUAGCGUUGUUCGGAAUCACUGGGCUUAAAGGGCGCGUAGGCGGGCUGUCAAGUCCGGGGUGAAAUCCUCCAGCUCAACUGGAGAAUGGCCUCGGAUACUGAUGGUCUCGAGGAGGAUAGGGGCACACGGAACUGUGGGUGGAGCGGUGAAAUGCGUUGAUAUCCACAGGAACUCCGGUGGCGAAAGCGGUGUGCUGGAUCCUUUCUGACGCUGAUGCGCGAAAGCCAGGGGAGCAAACGGG